UUCAAUGGAGAGUUUGAUCCUGGCUCAGGACGAACGCUGGCGGCGUGCUUAACACAUGCAAGUCGAACGAUGAAGUUCCUUCGGGAAUGGAUUAGUGGCGAACGGGUGAGGAACACGUGAGAAACCUGCCUUUCAUUUUGGGAUAACUCCGGGAAACCGGGGCUAAUACCGAAUACUCCGUCUCGGCGGCAUCGCUGAGCCGGGAAAAAAUUUUGAUGAAAGAUGGUCUCGCGGCCUAUCAGCUAGUUGGUGAGGUAAUGGCUCACCAAGGCGACGACGGGUAGCCGGCCUGAGAGGGCGACCGGCCACACUGGGACUGAGAC
rnacentral:rRNA from 1 species